rnacentral:rRNA from 1 species
AUUGAACGCUGGCGGAAUGCUUUACACAUGCAAGUCGAACGGUAGAGGGGGCAACCCCUUGAGAGUGGCGAACGGGUGAGUAAUGUAUCGGAACGUGCCCAGUCGUGGGGGAUAACGUAGUGAAAAUUACGCUAAUACCGCAUACGAUCUAUGGAUGAAAGCGGGGGAUCGCAAGACCUCGCGCGAUUGGAGCGGCCGAUAUCAGAUUAGGUAGUUGGUUGGGGUAAAGGCUCACCAAGCCAACGAUCUGUAGCUGGUCUGAGAGGACGACCAGCCACACUGGAACUGAGACACGGUCCAGACUCCUACAGGAGGCAGCAGUGGGGAAUUUUGGACAAUGGACGCAAGUCUGAUCCAGCCAUUCCGCGUGCAGGACGAAGGCCUUCGGGUUGUAAACUGCUUUUGUACGGAACGAAAAAGCUCUUAUUAAUACUAGGAGUCCAUGACGGUACCGUAAGAAUAAGCACCGGCUAACUACGUGCCAGCAGCCGCCGUAA